AAGAGAGUCCUCUUAACAAUUGGUCUUCUAAUCAUAGUAGGAUCCAAACACUGCUUUCUCAUGGGACUCUAUCGGAUAAGGAUACCCAUAUAGUUAAAUCCUACUAGCAAAGCACCAUACACCUCUAUAAAUACAGAACAUUGAGCCAUUAUUCAGGUGCGUUUUCAUUAUUCUCCAGUUUAUAACCUCACGUAUAUAAUUCCCUUUCUAACUUAAGUAUCGGAGGGGCGACGAGAACAUACCUCGUUAUCUUUGUUUCAGGUACCGGAAUACUACGAUCGUGCUCAAUCAAAACCAUCAAGCUCGAGAAAUCAACAGGUACGAUUUUUGGCAGCAUCACCAUCCUCCCCCGAUGAUGUGAGUAUUCACUACGGAUUUACCUUGUACACGAAGCAGCCUUCUACCUGAUUUCUAUAAUUCUCUUGCAUUAACACUGCAGUUUUUUAUUUUCAAAUACAAUCUCACCAAUCAAUAAUGGAUACGUUGACUCAAGUGGUCAAGUAAUUAAUCUCACCAAUCUCGACAAAAUUCAAAGCACGAUCAGUCAUUUCAAAAUUCACUUUAUGCGAAGUUCUUAAAAUGACAAUCAGUACAGAGUAAAGAGAAGAGGAAAAAAUAUGCGUGUGCGAGCAUCGUGCUUUAGGUGUUAAUAGAGGGGUAAAAAGAUUGUGAAGGCCUUUUAUUUUAGUUGUAGAUAGAGGGAAAACAGUGAAUGAAAGAUGAGAACGAAUGGUAAUUAUGAGUGGUGAUUAAAGGAUGAGCAAUUAAUGGAUGAUGAGGAUGGUCGAUAAUUGGAGAGCGAAUGGUCACUGAAGGAUUGUGCUUGAUGAUGUGGAUUAGCCAUUGUUGCGCGAUGAGCCCUCGUUUUUCCUAAGCCAAAUCGUUGUUGGGUAAUUGUCUUAACCUCUUGACGAAUUCAUUUCAUUGAAAUACCAAUUGGGUGAGGUUUCUAUGAUGUAUGGGUGGAGUUUGAAGGUUUUAGACAUGGAGGUGGUAAAAAGAGUGUGCGAUACAGCUGGGAGGCGAGAAUUCAGUUCACUGAAAUUAUUUCUAGGGCCAAACAGCGGGCGCCAAAUUAUAUAUGGUAGGUUCCUACAAUUGAGAAGAGCGGAAUGAUAGACAGUGAAUAAUAAUAUCAAACUUCGAAAGAAACAACCAUUAAAGAUUCUCAGGAAGACACUGACAAAGUGCUGAAUAUUGACCCUCUAACGAUCAAAUUAGCAAUAUAUAUAUAUAUAUAUAUAUAUAUAUAGAGAGAGAGAGAGAGAGAGAGAGAGAGAGAGAGAGAGUGUGAUGUAAGAGAGAAUAGAAGUUAUGUUUGAUCGUAAAUUACCUUAGAAGACUGGAUAUAUUUAUUGGAACGUGGUCGUAAUUCUCUUAGAUGAUUGUAGUGACAAUUCUUCGAAGUUCACAAUUGUUUGAGGAUAAGGAUGAUAUUGUUGGAGCAUCCUCUAUUUCCUUUUGCCAAAAACGUAUUUUAGAAAAGUGAUGGAAGAUAAAUACGUAGUUAAAAUUUUUUUUUUUAAAUUUGCGUGUAAAUAAUGAAGACAAAAAAAUAUAUUUUGAAAAUAAUAAAAACCAAACAAGAGCUAUAUAUGUUCCACUGGGAUGAUCCGACCAUUUGACGGCAACUUGAACUUAGUCAAGUUUAGUAAAAUACGAUUUGAUUGACCCUUGGUGAUCAAAUUUUAUUUGUAUUGUGUAUUCAGAGGAAAAUUAGAAGGAUUGACUAGAUUAUCUUACGUGUAUCUUUGACUCGGUCGAAAUCUCAUAUGACGAAGUCUUGAUGCUUGGGAGUUGACCCAUUACGCAUGCAUCCGAAGACCUUUUAUUUAUUUAUUUAUUUAUUUUGCGUUAGGGUUAGGCUAGAAGUGUGCAUUCAUUUAGCAACUUACAAGCCUAGUCACGCGUUUUGAGCCUAUUGGGCCAAUUUUUGCCGACGGCACUCCUAACUCGUCAAAUUAAGCCAAAUUAAACAAAAUUUAUUCCCACCCUUCAUCUUUAUUGUCAUCUUUCUCAAUCCGCCUUGCACAGAAAACCCAUCCAUUCUCCUAAUUUCCUGUCAUUUCACGUUCCCCAUCCUCCUUGAAAGCGUUGAGAAAAAGUUGUCUUGUCAUGUUAAUCUUACUGCUUUGUGAAGUAAAAAAAUAAACAAAUAAAUGAUAGCAAUGCUAGCUUUAUAAUCAAUGCGAAAUUACUCUUUGCUCGUAAAUUAAGGGUCUGUUUGAUUACGAAGAUGAAAUUUGGGUGGAAAGAAAAUGAAUUCCAAAUAAUUGAAUUACCUAGAAAUUGUUUUCCUAAGAAUUGUAAAUUAUUGUGUUUGAUUCGUAUAAUUUUCCACGUGAAAAAUGUUGAAGUAAAAGUAUAUUUUGAUGUUCGUUUGACUUUGUUUUACAUGAAAAUUGUCAAUUUAAGAGAUAUCCACUUCUACCAUUGUUCCUAGAAUUUGUUUCCAUUGCCAACCAAAAAUAAAAGGAAAAAAAAAUCAAAAAAUCAUCUAUAUUUUGGUGUUCGUUUGACUUUGUUUUACAUGAAAAUUGUCAAUUUCAGGGAUAUCCACUUUUACAAUUGUUCCUAAAAUUUGUUCCCAUUGUCAACAAUUAAAAAAAAUGGUGGAAAACCAAAAACCACCUACUCCUAGAAAAGUAAAAGGUGGAAAAUCACGUUUUAAGGUGUUGUACCUAGAAAUUCAUGGAAAAUUAAUUCCCUCGAAAAUUUUGUCAAUUAAACAGGCCAAAAGUGGAAGUUAGAAUUUGAAUUCCAAAUUCCAUGAAAAAUUUCGUGCAAUCAAACGGGGCCUAAAUGAUUUCCUGUAAGCCAAUCUUUGUAUGAACAAUUAUGCUGGUCUGUCGCCCCCUGGGGCAUAGCUUAGUGGUGCAAAGGACAGGAGUGAGGUUAGCUCACGUCUUGCUGACAGCCGCAGUGUGGGGGUUCGAUUCUUGAAACAUGAAAUUGGAUUCCUUGUAGGCGUAGUGUACAGACAGCUCUUAUUCCCUGAUCUAUUGGAACACAUCCUGCAAUUUACCUCCCUCACAAAACUCUAGGGACGGGGCGGUGGGGGCCCUCAAGAUUAGGGUUCAACCUUUUUUCUAAUUAUGCUGGUCUGUUAAGUUUUGCAGACAGGGUUUGGGGACAGAUUCUGUCCUAUUAAAUUUAUUUAUUUAUUUUUUCAAGCUUCCCAUUCAGAUGUUGACACACAUUGUUUGGAUUGAGGGAUAGAAUCCCUAUUUUUGUAGCACAAUUGUUGUAUGAAUUCUUAAUGUUGAAUCUUGAUCAAAUUAUGCUUUUUUUCCUUCUUAUUUUCCCACUUUGUCUUGACCACUCUCGAGAUGGGUCAAGACACUAUCCAUAAAUAUCUAAUGACAAGUGAAAAGGGCAAAAUAAUUUUCAAUGUCUUCCCCAUUCACCAGAUACCAUGCAAAGCUUGUAACAUUUUACUGGACAGUAAAGAUAGAAGUAAAUCAAUUCAUUUCUCUACUUGUCCAAUGAUACAAGUCAUUCUUUCUCAUUACUUCGUGUCUCAUUUUCUCUUUUUAUUGGCGUUACUAUAGUGGGAUUUCAUACAAAUGGACUAAAUUGGCUUCGAAUCCCACCUUCUAGUGAAAAUAAUGUCAAUUUACGUGACAAAAUGAAAAUUGAAAUUUUUGAUUGAUUAAAGGAGUUUAUUACACAAGAAUGAUGACGUCCAUCAAUCAUUAACCGCGAGAACUCUUCUAACAAGCUUACUGCACAAAAACAAUUAUCAACAAAGAGUCCACCCAUGAUUAAGCACCGCGAGAACUCUUCUAACAAGCCUAUUGAUAAAUGCGUUUUAUACAUUUAUUUAGGCCACAAAACAUAGAUAAUUAUUGGUAGAUAUGUUGAAAUAUGUCUUAAUUCUAUAUAAGUUAUGUUUUACAAGACAACAUUAAUGAAUAUGGUGAAAUUUAGGAAAAACAAGCGAAAAAGGAUCAAAAUGGAGGAAACCUAAAGUUCAGGGACCAAAAUGCAAAUAGCUGAAAGAAGACCCAGAAGAAGAAACAAAGAUGUGAAAGAGUCAAAGAUCAAUUUAGUGAAAACAUUAAGUGUUGGAAGAAGAAAAAAAUGAGAAAACAAGUCAAGAAACAAAAAAAAGGGAGUUGGGAGACUAAAAUAAAAUUCUUGGAAUUUAAGUUACACCAUGUGGUCGCAUAGUGCACUUUACCAUGCAAUCGCAUAGUGACCUUCAGAUAGUUUCAGGGCCAAGUUCCAUUGACUUAUGCUAUGCAAUAGCAUAGUACAAUUUUGACGGAAAAACUUUAAUUUCCUUAUAUAACUAAAAUUCUUAUGAAAACAAAUUUUGAGACGUCUUUACAGACCUGGGUUUGUCCAUAAGUAGGGGAGGACGUAUCAUAACACAUUUAUAUAGGUUUUAGAGCAUAGAAGGAGGCAAGAAACGUGAUUGAUUCCAAGACCCAAAGAUUCAAUUCAAGAUUUAAAUUGGGUGAUGUUGAUUUUAGUUCUCUUGUUUUAUUCUUCCUAACAUGUCAAGCUAAAUUUAUUUGUGCUAGAAAAUGGAUCAACCAUGCAAUAUAAAUUUUUAAUUUUUAAUUUUAUAUAUUUGACAUCAAAAACACAUUUUUGGACAUUGACUUAUUUUAUGCAUUCAAAAAAAAGGAAAUGGGCUCGACAUAGUAUAAAUCGUCAUAGGAUCCUACAUGGGAUAUAAAUAUGCCACUAUAUCUUAUAUGUUUCUCUAAGUGUUCAUAAAAAUUCAUGCAUUCUUAUAUGUUUACGUCCGUAAUAGAAAAUAUAGUCGGACUAUGUAUGAGAAUAUGUUUAACAUUACACAAGAGAGAUUGGUGAAUAAAAUAGGAACAUUAAUUCAUCAAAAAUCAACCGUGCUGUCAAGGUGUAGAAUUAAGGUCAAAAAGAAUUAUUGCAUUGGAAUUCGAAAUCCUAAUACAUUUAUAGUUCAUUAUAACACAUCAACUUUCAUUAAGGCCCUGUUUGAUAGCAUGGAAAAUCAAUGGGAAAUGGAAAUAGAAUUCCACUUUUCAACUUUAACAAUGUUUGAUGGCAAAGUUUUUCCUUGAAAAUAAUUUUCCCACUCCUCCCCUCACGCGCCUGAUUUCAAGCUUUUUAAGGAAUUCUAAUUCCUACAGGUUAGGUGAGAAUUUGUUUUCCAGGUUCUUUUUUUUUUUAAAUUAAUUUUUUUUUGUUAAUGAAAAUAAAUUCUAUUUCUAAUUGUAAAAAAAUAUUUUUCUUUAAAUGGCAAUUUCAAUGUAAAACAAAGUCAAACAAAUACCAAAAAAUAGAUAAUUUUUUUUAUUUUUUGGCAAUGGAAACAAAUUUCAUCCUCAAUACCAUUAAAUUUUAUUUCUUUAAUUGAUAAUUUUCAUGUAAAAUAAAGUCAAACGAACAUCAAAAAUCACUUUUAUUUCAACAUUUUCCACAUGGAAAAUUAUACCAAUCAAACACAAUAAUUUACAAUUCUCAUGAAAAUAAUUUCUAGGUAAUUCAGUUUCUUGGAAUUCGUUUUCAAUUCAAUUCAAUUUCAUAUUUGCAAUCAAACGGACCCUAAGUAUAACUUACAUUUAGUUUGAUUAAUUCAUUCAUAAUUGCAUACUUAACUUACUUUAAUUAUAAUUUCAUUACAACAAAUACAUAUUGUUAUUCUUGUUUUCGGUUAAGGUCAUGAUAAUAAAAAUUAAACUAAAUUAAUCCUCGUGGAACGAUACUUGGACACACAUCCACUUUAUUACUUGUUAACGAACCGUACACUUGCGGAAGUUUAAAUCGAAAUAUAUUUUCGUGAACAAUAUUUUGGUGCCGUUGUCGAGGAUUAAUUUCUAGUUUAAUUUUAUAUAUCUUGACACUAACUUGGACUUCUACCUAUAUUUUUGUAUUGUUAUUUUUGUUCCAUUUUAGUUUUUGUUUCCUUCCUUUUCCAGGAUAUAUGAAAAUUUAAAAAUAGCAAGACAAAAGAUAGUUGUGGUUAAUUUCAACAAGAUGCUCAUAUGUGACUUCAUCAUAAGGCAACAAUUGGCAGCUUAAGAAAUUGACGAGUGGGAUUUGCUUGUAGGAGAUUUCAUUAUAGGACAAUGACUAUGAGAUAUAAAAGUAGAAUGUGAACUUGAUGAAAGUGUCCUGGGUGACUUAUCUAUUGCAUUAUUACUCUCACCACGAUUUGAUGUAGGUGAUUUACUUAUGGGAUUAUUUCCUCCACCGAUUAUUAAUGAACAUUAAUUAAGAGAUACAACAAGAGGAGAAGAUUCUCCAUGAAAAUGUUAUUAUUUGUUUGCCAAAGUUUUGAAUACAGACGUUGAACUCAAGAAAACUUCAAUUAAAGAAGAUGAUCAUCAAAAGAUCAAGAAAUUAUUCAUAACGGGCAAAAAAGAAUUUAUAGCAUUCAAAGAAGAAGAAAUUAGCAUGCAAUCCCUCUAUUUUAUCGUUUGCCCAAAAAUUUAUUUUGUGAGUAAACCUUAUGAGGAGAUUGAGGUUUAUAUUGUUGAGUUCGAAACGAGUGAUAGGGGGAAGUCAUACUACUUGGGGAAGUGUAAGUUAAAUUUUGGAACAAAGUCAUAAUGAGGAAGCUAAGCAGGACCUCGAAAGUCAUAUUCAAAGUGUCAUAACACACUUGUGCUAAAAGUCAAGCUUUAGACUUUAAAUCAAACGCUUAAUGGGAGACAACCCAUUUUUUUUUUUUUUAUCACUUUUCACUUAUUUUGAUUAGCUAUUGCAUUACACAUAUUUUAAGGGAUUGCAUUAGUAUUUUUGGGUUAGGUUUAGGAACUCAUGUAUUUGAUAUUUUUAACACAUAUUAUGUAUUUUAAGACUUGCAUUAAUAACUUAGACAUGUUAUUGAAUUCAUUUUAUUUAUGCUUAUCGUUAGCAUCCUAGUAUUACAUUGAGCUUGCAUUGAUGCAAUAUGCAUUUUUGAGGUUGCACAUAGAUUUCAAUCUUCUUAUUGUUAGAAGAUUAAAAUCCUUUUUAGAAGAUCAAAAUCCUUUUUGGUGUGAAUACAUUAUAAAUAUUUAAACCUUAUUUGCUAUCAUUAAUAUUUAUUUUGAAUUCUUAAAACAGAUAAUUGAAGCCUAGCAACAAAGAAAAGUGGUUGUUGUCAUGACAUUUACCAACCGAACCAGCCAGAUCCUUCUAUCCAUUCGCAUCUAUGUGGGAGUUUUUAAUCCUUGCUAAUUUAUUUUGAUUAUUUUUGCUUUUACAUCAAGGAUCGUGUUUUGUAUAAGUUCGGGGGAGGUAGAAUUUUAAUGACACUGACAUUCAUCAAUAUUUUUGUAUAAUUUACUACUUUUGUGUAAUUGUUCAUGUGAAAAAAAAAAUUAGUUUUUUUUUCCUUAUUUUCUAGUAUUUAUUUAUUGUUUUGCAUGCUUGUAUGGGUUUAAUGGCGUUGACGACAAUGAUGUUGAAUGUUGAAAUAAGUAUGGAGUAGGAAUAGUGGAAAUAGUGCAUGAUUAUAUUAGCCAAUGCUUGUUUAUGUGAAACUUGACAUUUUCUAUGCACAACACUCACGUUUUACAUGUUGAGUUAGCGAUUUGGUUCAUCAAUUAGAAAAGAGUUGAACGGAGUAGGUUAAACCCGAAAAACCUCUAUUAUAAUUAUCAAUAAUCCACUGUUAUGGUAGUUUGGAGAUUGUUGAACUGUUACAGAGAAACAUUGAGAUGAAUAGGGACUCAAUGCAUGAAACUAUCUUGUGUGGAUUGUCUAAAAUCAAUGAGACGAAAUUGAGAUGAAAGGCUUAAGUUAAACGUUGAUUUUGGAAACUAAAUGUCUAAGAGAAAAGGGAUAUAAUAUUAAUAUGUGCAAAUAACACUUUUCUCAAAGCCUUUAUGACUCAAGCAAGUAAGAUUGUAAGAGUAUUUGAAAAUUUGGUGACCUAAAAGGAGUCAUUGGCCUAAUGCUCGCUAAAAGGGUCAUAUAGAAAGCAAAAGGGAGAGAAAUUGAUAAAAGUCAUCUUCUCGAACCUUUAUAACUCGAACGAAUAAGUCUAUAAGGGUAUUUGAAAACCUGAUGCUCUAAAGUCAACUAAUUUGAGAGUCAUUGGUCUAAAACUCGAUACAUAGGUUAUAUAAAAAGCAAAUGAGAAGAUGUAAGAAAAAAGGAGAAAGAAAACAAGAAUAAGUGAUGAAAGACACAAUUGCAGUGAUUAAACCCCCAAAAAUUUGGUUGAUAGAACUAUACAUUUAAUGCAAGGCAAGUAGCUUAGUUUAAUUUUAAAUGUUAGAGGAAUAAAAAGUAGAAGAAUCUCUACUUGUCGAAUUGUGAACUUGUGAUAGCAAGAUCUAUCCAAACUAAGAAGGGUUAAAAAUUAGAAUUAACUAAACUUCAAAUUUAAAACACAUCCCGAGAAAAUUGAGUGAAGAAAAGAAAUGAUGACCCGAAAGAAGAAACGAAGAUUUGAAAGAGUCAAAGACCAAUUUAGUGAAAACACGAAGUGUUAGAAGAAGAAAAAAAUGAGAAAAGAGGUUAAAAACGAAGAAACAGAGUUCGAGGACUAAAAUUAAAUUCUUGAAAUUUAAGUUACACUUUGCAGUCGCAUAGUGCACUCUACCAUGGGGUCACAUAGUGAUCUUCAGAGAGUUUUAGGGCCAAGUUUCAUUGAACUAUGCUAUAGCAUUGAUUUGUACUAUAUUAAUUUUGACGAAAACUUUUGGUUUCCUUCUAUGACUAAAAUUCUUGUGGACACAAAUCUUGAGACGUCUUUUAAGACCUAGGGCUGUCCAUAAAUAGGGGAGGAUGCAUCAUAAUACAUUCAUAGACAUUUUAAAGCAUAAAAGAAGGCAAGAAGCACGAGAUUGAUUUAAAGACCCGAAAAUUCAGUUCAAUAUAUAAUUUGAUGAUAUCGAUUCUUCAAUAUUUCUUUUGUUUUAUUCUUCCUAACAUGUUAGGCUUCAUUUAUUUGCGUCAAGAAAAUGAUCAACGAUGUGAUAUAAAUUUCUAAUCUUUAGUUUUACAUAUUUGACAUCAAAAACACGUUUUUGGAUAUUGAAUGAUUUAUAUGAAUUUUUUCUUCACUAUUAUUGUACACGAUAAUUGUUUAAAUGUGAUGACUUAUUUUAUGCAUUUGAAAGAAAGAAAAUAGUCUCAAUGUGAAACAAAUCGUCAUAAGGUGCAAUUGAAAUAGAAAUAUAUAGCUAUGAAUUAUGUGAAUCUUUAAGCUUUCGUAAAAAAAUUCAUACAUUCUUGUACGCUCACAUUCAUUGUAGGAAAUGUAAUCAAGUCAUAUAUGAGAAUAGGUUUGAUAUUACUCGAAAAAGAUUGUUGAAUAAAGUGGUAACAUUGAUUCGUCAAAAUUCAGUCUCACUGUUAAGAUGUAGAAUUAAAGUUAAAAAAUGACUAUUGCAUGGGAAUUUGAGAUCCUAGUACAUGUUUUUCAUUAAAACACAUCAACUUUCAUUAAGUAUAAUUUAUAUUUAUUUUGGUUAAUUCAUUCAUAAUUAUAUACUUAACUUACUCCAGUAAUAAUUCAUCACAACAAACACAUAUUGUUAUUCUUGUUUUGAUUAUAGUCACGAUAAUAAAAAUUGAACUAAAUCAAUUCCCAUGGAAUGAUAUUUGAACUCAAGUCCACUUUAUUACUUUUUAACGAAUCGUACACUUAUGGAGGUUUUAAUCAAAAUACACUUUCAUGAACACUUACUGCAUAAAAACAGUUAUCAACAAAGAGUCCAACCAUGAUUCAGCACGAGAACUCUCUUUAACUUGCUUACCCAUCAACACAGAAUCUCCCCAAUGCAAAAGCUUCCUCUAAAGAAGGGAUCAAUCAUUUCUAAGCUCAUUCGUGCAUGGAAACUUUAACAGGCUAAAGGCACAGAACUUCAAGGGAAGAUAACUCACAAUUUCACCGAUGACAAGACAAGACAAAUGUUACCAGGGUUGAAGCCAGACCUUUAGUAUUGUGGGGUCAAAAUUUUAAAAAUAAUUUUUUUAAUAAACAACAUAAUAUCAAUGAAAAUAAAUUUAUAUGUAUUUUGACACUUUG
rnacentral:lncRNA from 1 species